AUGCAAAUACAGAAAUUAUUAAAAAAAACAUUAUUACAGCAAACAAAGAUGAGUCAAUGCAGACUCGUUUACUUAUUGGAGCCCGCCGUCGCUACCACCCAUCCGACACCACUUCUGCAAGACAUACGACCGGCCACCCACGCAUCGCACCGCCAAACACGCAGCUUCCCAAAUAACUUCCUCCUCUGUGCCCGACGAAAAUCUCCGGCGACGAACUGCAGAUCCGCAACCAACAACCCUCCACGCCCGACGAACCUUCAUGCAAUCAGCCCUUUCCGCUUCUUUUCGUCCGCCGUACAAAAUCACCAUAGGCAAGUUAUUCUCUGUGAUUCUACUAGUUUUGGUGUUUUUAAGUGUAUGAGUUGCAGAAAUUUUUUGGUUGUUCAUGGAGAAAGAUGA